GUGGGGAAUAUUGGGCAAUGGGCGCAAGCCUGACCCAGCAACGCCGCGUGAAGGAAGAAGGUUUUCGGAUUGUAAACUUCUUUUAAGAGGGACGAAGAAAGUGACGGUACCUCUUGAAUAAGCCACGGCUAACUACGUGCCAGCAGCCGCGGUAAUACGUAGGUGGCAAGCGUUAUCCGGAUUUACUGGGUGUAAAGGGCGUGUAGGCGGGAAUGCAAGUCAGAUGUGAAAAUUAUGGGCUCAACCCAUAACCUGCAUUUGAAACUGUGUUUCUUGAGUGAUGGAGAGGCAGGCGGAAUUCCGUGUGUAGCGGUGAAAUGCGUAGAUAUACGGAGGAACACCAGUGGCGAAGGCGGCCUGCUGGACAUUAACUGACGCUGAGGCGCGAAAGCGUGGGGAGCAAACAGGAUUAGAAACCCUGGUAGUCC
rnacentral:rRNA from 1 species